AGUUCUGGGCUCUGCCCUCUUGUGUGGCCUGGUUUGCCCUCUUCUUCCUUUCCUAGGCCCCCUUGUUUCCCCUGGCUCUCACAUACUCUUUCCAGCUGCCUCCCAAGCCAGUCCUGCAGUCUGAUGAACAUUCUAGAGUGUGUGGACACAGAUGGAUGCUCUGGUCACAGGCUCUGCCUUAGGUUCCCUGGACUUCCCCACACAUCCCCUUCAUCCAGUGAGAUCCUCUUUAGACUCUACUGAUCUCUUCGCUGCUGCUCAGGUCUGAUCUAGGAAGAGGGGUGGGCUUAGUCGGGAGACGGGAUGAGGGUGUAAAGAGGAGACUUGGGGGGCCUGGGCUCUUCUUUCUGUGGCCUCCUUAUGCCCAGAAUCUCUUCCUUUUCUGUUUCCUCUGCUCACGCUGUGUGUUGGUUUCCCAGCUCUUCUGACUGCCACUGAUCGGCUGACCUUUC
rnacentral:lncRNA from 1 species